GGCGUUAAGUUGCAGGGUAUAGACCCGAAACCCGGUGAUCUAGCCAUGGGCAGGUUGAAGGUUGGGUAACACUAACUGGAGGACCGAACCGACUAAUGUUGAAAAAUUAGCGGAUGACCUGUGGCUGGGGGUGAAAGGCCAAUCAAACCGGGAGAUAGCUGGUUCUCCCCGAAAGCUAUUUAGGUAGCGCCUCGUGAAUUCAUCUCCGGGGGUAGAGCACUGUUUCGGCUAGGGGGCCAUCCCGGCUUACCAACCCGAUGCAAACUGCGAAUACCGGAGAAUGUUAUCACGGGAGACACACGGCGGGUGCUAACGUCCGUCGUGAAGAGGGAAACAACCCAGACCGCCAGCUAAGGUCCCAAAGUCAUGGUUAAGUGGGAAACGAUGUGGGAAGGCCCAGACAGCCAGGAUGUUGGCUUAGAAGCAGCCAUCAUUUAAAGAAAGCGUAAUAGCUCACUGGUCGAGUCGGCCUGCGCGGAAGAUGUAACGGGGCUAAACCAUGCACCGAAGCUGCGGCAGCGAACGUAUCACCCAAGACAACUUUGCGGAGUUGACGAUUGACGGAGCGAAGCGACGUCAAAGCGUUCAUUAAAGUCGAGUUGGCUUAGGGAUACGUUCGUUGGGUAGGGGAGCGUUCUGUAAGCCAGUGAAGGUGUGUCGUGAGGCAUGCUGGAGGUAUCAGAAGUGCGAAUGCUGACAUAAGUAACGAUAAAGCGGGUGAAAAGCCCGCUCGCCGGAAGACCAAGGGUUCCUGUCCAACGUUAAUCGGGGCAGGGUGAGUCGACCCCUAAGGCGAGGCCGAAAGGCGUAGUCGAUGGGAAACGGGUUAAUAUUCCCGUACUUGGUGUUACUGCGAAGGGGGGACGGAGAAGGCUAUGUUGGCCGGGCGACGGUUGUCCCGGUUUAAGCGUGUAGGUGUGUGUUCCAGGUAAAUCCGGUUCACUUUAACACUGAGGCGUGACGACGAGGCACUACGGUGCUGAAGCAACAAAUGCCCUGCUUCCAGGAAAAGCCUCUAAGCAUCAGGUAACAUCAAAUCGUACCCCAAACCGACACAGGUGGUCAGGUAGAGAAUACCAAGGCGCUUGAGAGAACUCGGGUGAAGGAACUAGGCAAAAUGGUGCCGUAACUUCGGGAGAAGGCACGCUGACACGUAGGUGAAGUGAUUUACUCAUGGAGCUGAAGUCAGUCGAAGAUACCAGCUGGCUGCAACUGUUUAUUAAAAACACAGCACUGUGCAAACACGAAAGUGGACGUAUACGGUGUGACGCCUGCCCGGUGCCGGAAGGUUAAUUGAUGGGGUCAGCGCAAGCGAAGCUCCUGAUCGAAGCCCCGGUAAACGGCGGCCGUAACUAUAACGGUCCUAAGGUAGCGAAAUUCCUUGUCGGGUAAGUUCCGACCUGCACGAAUGGCGUAAUGAUGGCCAGGCUGUCUCCACCCGAGACUCAGUGAAAUUGAACUCGCUGUGAAGAUGCAGUGUACCCGCGGCAAGACGGAAAGACCCCGUGAACCUUUACUAUAGCUUGACACUGAACAUUGAGCCUUGAUGUGUAG
rnacentral:rRNA from 1 species